rnacentral:rRNA from 1 species
AGUGAACGCUGGCGGUAGGCCUAACACAUGCAAGUCGAACGGCAGCACAGUAAGAGCUUGCUCUUACGGGUGGCGAGUGGCGGACGGGUGAGGAAUACAUCGGAAUCUACUUUUUCGUGGGGGAUAACGUAGGGAAACUUACGCUAAUACAGCAUACGACCUACGGGUGAAAGCAGGGGAUCUUCGGACCUUGCGCGAUUGAAUGAGCCGAUGUCGGAUUAGCUAGUUGGCGGGGUAAAGGCCCACCAAGGCGACGAUCCGUAGCUGGUCUGAGAGGAUGAUCAGCCACACUGGAACUUAGACACGGUCCAGACUCCUAAGGGAGGAAGCAGUGGGGAAUAUUAGACAAUGGGCGCAAGCCUGAUCCAGCCAUACCGCGUGGGUGAAGAAGGCCUUCGGGUUGUAAAGCCCUUUUGUUGGGAAAGAAAAGCAGCAGGUUAAUACCCCGCUGUUCUGACGGUACCCAAAGAAUAAGCACCGGCUAACUUCGUG